rnacentral:rRNA from 1 species
ACCCCGCACAAGCGGUGGAUUAUGUUGUUUAAUUCGACGCAACGCGAAGAACCUUACCAGGCCUUGACAUACUCGGCAAAGCUCUAGAGAUAGAGUGGAGGUUAUCCGGGAUACAGGUGGUGCAUGGUUGUCGUCAGCUCGUGUCGUGAGAUGUUGGGUUAAGUCCCGCAACGAGCGCAACCCUUGUCAUUAGUUGCUACAUUCAGUUGGGCACUCUAAUGAGACUGCCGGUGACAAACCGGAGGAAGGUGGGGAUGACGUCAAGUCCUCAUGGCCCUUAUAGGUGGGGCUACACACGUCAUACAAUGGCCGGUACAAAGGGUCGCAAACCCGCGAGGGGGAGCCAAUCCAUCAAAGCCGGUCGUAGUCCGGAUCGCAGUCUGCAACUCGACUGCGUGAAGUCGGAAUCGCUAGUAAUCGUGGAUCAGCAUGUCACGGUGAAUACGUUCCCGGGUCUU